rnacentral:lncRNA from 12 species
AUGUGAAGAUGGAGCAGAUGAUGUCCUCUGUGAACGUGCAGAACUCGGCAAUUGCUUCAGGAAGGAAGGGUAAGUGCUUCUAAAGCUUACUUACUCGUCAAAGCACAUUUCAACAUGACUCCUUGGACAAGCAUCGGAAAUUUUUUUUAAGAUUUUAAUUUAAUUCCAGUUAACAUACAGUGUUCUGUUAGUUUUAGGUGUAGUCCAUACAUCAUCGGGUGCUCAUCACAAGUGCACUGCUUCAUCCCCUUCACUUGUUUCCCCCUUCCCCCCCUCCUGCCUCCCUCUCCUCUCCUCUCCCCAUCCGUUCUCUACAGUGAAGAGUUUGUUUAUUGAUUUGUCUCUCUCACUCUCUUUUUUCCCCUUUGCUCAUUUGUUUUAUAUCUCAAAUUCCACAUGUGAGUGAAAUCAUAUGGUAUUUGUCUUUCUCUGACUUACUUAUUUUGCUUCGCAUAAUACUCUCUAGCUGCAUCCAUGUUGUUGCAAAUGGCCCAGUAUUUUUGAAAUAAGAAACUCCUGUUUAUUUUUCUAAACUCUUGAGAGAUGCUAUCCGUGGGCAAGCGAUUGUUCUGACGUGCAGUGUAUGAGUGAGGAGGUAGUCGAUGUGCUGGCGGGAAUGUUCCUGAGCGGAACCAGGGCUGCUCUGGGCUGCACUUCCAUCUAUGUGUGAGGUGGUCACAGAGGGAACGCGAGAGAAGUCAUACCGGAGAAGGCAAGUGUGCAAGCCAUCUACCUGGAGGAGCAUCAGGACAGAGAAACAAUUCCCUGAUUUGCUUAAAAAUGUGUUACUUCAUUUGAGCUUCAUGGUUCCAUUCAACAGUUGUCUGUUGCUCUCACACUGUAUCUAAAGGCAUACAAAAGGGGCUGUGCUUUGAAGAAGCAGAGUAAAGUUCUCUCUCUCCCAGUUGAAACAUGAAAAGAUAGAAGGAAUCAAGGCUGCCCUUGAAAAUGAUGAGAGGAUAUGGAUAUAUUAGAGCCUGGUAUUUUUUCUAAGCACAUUGCAAUGUUGCUUCAUGGGGAGAGAUCAUUGCCUGGUGUUGUCUAUCAGGUCUUCAUGAGGAGUCUUAAAUGCAACUGGAAGAAAUUCCAGAUGUUCAAAAUGACAGCCACUGGUCAUGACAGUUGUGUCUCUGAAACUCUGGUGCCACACGCCUCACGGUUGGGAUGCCCCCAGAUGCUCUGCAAGGCCUUGAUCACACCAUCUGAAACACUUGCCUGGGUCAAACAAUUUGCUCGCUGCCAUCCUCUGCUCUGGCAGACAGGAGGCCUGGAGAAGAUGGGGAGUUUGGGGCACUGCCUGUAUCCACACCAGCCACCACCACUCAGCAGUAGCAGUGGAUGUAGAAGAUCACACCAAGGUGGAGAACCCCUCCUGAACCCGAGCUGA